GCCAGACACGGUGGCAUGUGCCUAUAGUCCCAGCUCCUCAGGAGGCUGAGGCUGGAGAAUCCCUUGAGUCCAGGAGUUCUGGGCUGUAGUGCGCUAUGCUGAUCGGAUGUCCGCACUAAGUUCAGCAUCAAUAUGGUCACCUCCCGGGAGUGGGGGACCACCAGGUUGCCUAAGGAGGGGUGAAUCGGCCCAGGUCAGAAACAAAGCAGGUCAACACUGCCAUGCUGAUCGGUAGUGUAAAUCUCACCUGUGACUAGCCACUGCACUCCAGCCUGGGCAAUAUAGUGAGACCCUGACUCU
rnacentral:SRP_RNA from 1 species